UACGUAGGGGGCAAGCGUUGUUCGGAAUUACUGGGCGUAAAGGGCGCGUAGGCGGCCUGCUAAGUCGAACGUGAAAUCCCCGGGCUCAACCCGGGAACUGCGUCCGAUACUGGUUGGCUUGAAUCCGGGAGAGGGAUGCGGAAUUCCAGGUGUAGCGGUGAAAUGCGUAGAUAUCGUAAGGAAGACCAGUGGCGAAGGCGGGUCUCUGGACAGUUCCUGACGCUGAGGCACGAAGGCCAGGGGAGCAAACGGG
rnacentral:rRNA from 1 species